rnacentral:rRNA from 1 species
GAUGAACGCUGGCGGCGUGCCUAAUACAUGCAAGUCGAGCGAACAGACGAGGAGCUUGCUCCUCUGACGUUAGCGGCGGACGGGUGAGUAACACGUGGAUAACCUACCUAUAAGACUGGGAUAACUUCGGGAAACCGGAGCUAAUACCGGAUAAUAUAUUGAACCGCAUGGUUCAAUAGUGAAAGACGGUUUUGCUGUCACUUAUAGAUGGAUCCGCGCCGCAUUAGCUAGUUGGUAAGGUAACGGCUUACCAAGGCAACGAUGCGUAGCCGACCUGAGAGGGGUGCCGGCCCACCCGGAACGGGAGACAGGGCCAGGCCCCAUAGGGGGGGAAGAGGGAGGGAACCUCCGGAAAGGGGAAAAGGUUGGAGGGACCAGCCCGGGGGGAGGAGGAAGGGUUUUGGGAUCGAAAACCUUUUUUUUGGGGAAAAAAAAAUUGUUAAAUAACUUUUGCCCGUCUGGACGUUCCCUAAAAAAAAGCCCCGGACAAACCCGGGG